rnacentral:rRNA from 1 species
GAUGAACGCUAGCUACAGGCUUAACACAUGCAAGUCGAGGGGUAACGAGAGGAAAGCUUGCUUUCCUUGUCGACGACCGGCGCACGGGUGAGUAACGCGUAUCCAACCUGCCCCCAACUAAGGAAUAACCUUGCGAAAGUAAGACUAAUACCUUAUAAUUUCCUCAGAUGUCAUCUGACGAGGAAUAAAGAUUUAUCGGUUGUGGAUGGGGAUGCGUCUGAUUAGCUUGUUGGCGGGGUAACGGCCCACCAAGGCAACGAUCAGUAGGGGUUUGGAGAGGAAGGUCCCACACAUUGGAACUGAGACACGGUCCAAACACCUACGGGAGGCAGCAGUGAGGAAUAUUGGUCAAUGGGCGAAAGCCUGAACCAGCCAAGUAGCGUGCAGGAUGACGGCCCUAUGGGAUGUAAACUGCUUUUAUACAGGAAUAAAGUUAGCCACGUGUGGUUAUUUGUAGGUACUGUAUGAAUAAGGACCGGCUAAUUCCGUGCCAGCCGCCGCGGUAAAAC